rnacentral:rRNA from 1 species
CUAAGGCUCCGGAGGAAGCCACGGCUAACUCUGUGCCAGCAGCCGCGGUAAUACAGAGGCGGCAAGCGUCGUUCGGAAUUAUUGGGCGUAAAGAGCACGUAGGCGGCCUUGUAAGUCAGUUGUGAAAGCCUUCUGCUCAACGGAAGAACAGCAUCUGAUACUGCAAGGCUAGAGUGCGGAAGGGGAGAGUGGAACUUCUGGUGGAGCGGUGAAAUGCGUAGAUAUCAGAAGGAACACCGGCGGCGAAGGCGACUCUCUGGUCCGUAACUGACGCUGAGUGUGCGAAAGCUAGGGGAGCAAACGGGAUUAGAUACCCCGGUAGUCCUAGCCGUAAA